rnacentral:lncRNA from 1 species
AAAAAAAAAACAUUCAGGCCAUUUGGUAAGUCUCUAAGUGGUUGAUGUCAGGUUUGUUUGUUGUUUGUUUGUUUUGUUUUCUUAGAACAACUAGAACUAGAUGAAAAUAGAGCAUGUAUGAAUCAAAUCCAAGCCCUUGUGCACCCAAAGAUAAGUGACUAAGGAGGCAGUCAGUCACUUCAGUCCUGUAGGUUGUCACUUGAGGUUUUCUACUAUCUUAAUAGUAGACUAUUUUCUAUUUUAAUAGUACUCCUAUUCUAGUCUAUUAUUUAAUGUAUAUCUACCCCAUCUGGUUCUUCCAACUCCAACGCUUCUUGAUGUUAGAGCAACACCGUACACAGUAAGCACAGACGUGCAUAGACACUCGUUAUUCUGGCUUAAUGAGUUUCCUAAGGGUGGGGAUUGCUCUUCAUUGUAAGAUAAUGUUAAUGUUACCUGUCAACUUGCAAACCGUGCACGAUAACUGAGGUUGAGCAACUCACACUAAAGGAAACGUAUGCCAGUCAUAUACUUUUAAAAGGAGUUUUGCGAUCGUCUGUAUAUACUUUCCGUUUUGUUUUCCCAGGUCUUUCUAAGGCUCCGCGUCUCGGCCUGCUAGGAGUCAGUCGAGUGCUUGCUCUGAUUUAAUAAAAAGCAGAGGCUGUCCUGUGGAAGCUCUGCUGACUUUCUCACUUGUCCCAGGACUGCUGAAGCUGCCAUUUCAUGAAUAUGGAAUAUCAUUCUACACAGAGAUACAUCUGCACCACGUGUUCCUUCAGGCUCAACACAUCCAGGUUCCAGUCAUUGGAACCUGUGAAUGUUACUUAAUAAAAUAAAAGACACUGCAGGCUGUCACUAAGUGAAGAUCCUGAGACAAGCGAAGUUUCAGAAAUUUUCCAGGUGGGCUCCAAGUACAGCCAUUCGUGUUCCUUAGAGAGGAAGGAAGGGGGAGAUUUGAUGCAGAAGAUGGUCAUGUGACCCGACAGGCACAUCCUAUCCUGGCUCUUUAGAAAGGGAGGGAGGAGCCAGGAGUCAAGGCAGGUAGCUCCCUUAAAAAUGUCAGUCUCCUGAAGUUCUCCCAAGCAAGGACAGCCUGACCUCCUCCUACAAAGACUCUCAAUGAAACUCUCCAGGCUUCUGGGAUACAAUAUGGAACUCUAAGGGAGUAAAAUUUGUUGUUUGAAGCCAACGAGCUUCUCACCAUUCAUUAAAGUAGAAACAGGAAAAAAAAAAAAAAGCAGCCACAUUUGCUUAAAGGGUUGGGUGGUUGCCCACCGACUGUAAAACUGCAACCCUCUCUGCUCUCUCCCCGACCUCUCUGAUUCUAUGCUUGGUCCAUUUUUAGUCACAUGAAUGUCAGACUUUUGCCAGUUUCUGUUUUGGCAAAACAGAGUUUGUUAAAUGAGGCAAUGUCAGCCUCAUUAGUGAAUGAGGAGAGAAUAUUAUUCUCUAUAUAACACACUGAACAAAUACCUUUACACAGGGAGUGUGAAAAAGAACAUGUUUCAGAUAGGAACUGAAGAGUAUUGAAGUUUCAAAUACUCUGAAAUGAAUGGGUAAGCCAAGAGCAGGAAGAAACGAAUUCAUGGUUUUGAUUUGUUUUAUUGGUGAAAUAUGUUGAGUUGUGGUUGGGCGUGGGAGUGGAUACCUACAGCUCUGAACUGAAAUUUUUCCACUGCCCCUCCCCUUUAUCCAUUUUGUUGGGACUUCUGUAGGGAAUAAGAGUUCAAGGACAGGAGAGAUUGGGAUGAAUCCUUUGGGGCCAGAAGCCCUGAAGUAAACCAGUAAAUCUUGACGUCUUCACAGUUUUGUUUUUCCAUGAGAAUGUAACAACAU